GAGAGAUCUUCUUGCAAAUAAUGUCUCAGGCAAAGACAUAGCAUCUUGGCUAUCUGCUAAAAUAAAAAAAUACCUAGACUCUUGGUGGAAAUUGAGUGUCAAGCUGCAAAACCUCAAAUGGCAGAUUAUCAUCAUUUAAGUCUAUCCAGAAUAGGAGAGGGUUGAGACCAUUUUUGUGAUAUUCUAGAAUAAAGCGGCAUUUUUUCAAAAUGAUUUUGCCUUUAAGGGAGCUUGUAAUAACAGCUUAAGAAAUCUCUCUUUGUGCUUCAAAAUCAUGCAUUGUCUGCCCUCUGCUAGGACAACCAUAAGAGUUCAUUGAGAGGACAAAUUUUCUAUCUCAUUAGUUUUUUUUUUAAGGUAAACCUUACUAACCCCUCAAACCCUUGACCUUUAAAGACAGUAUUUUGUGUAAGCUCUGUAUUUCUCCUGUUAUGAUGACCUUUACACAUGCUCUCCUGCUCUCUCCAUCU
rnacentral:lncRNA from 1 species